rnacentral:sRNA from 1 species
AUUUGUUGUGGGCAAAUAAAAUGUAUAUGUGAAUCAAACCCGCCAGCCAUAACAAUAUGUCCCUCUGCUGCAAUGACUUCCGUACCAGCACCUAUCACCAUAUCUUUACUAAUACCUGAUUGAAUUAACGGAUUUCCCGCAUGACCAACACCAGCAAUACGUCCUUCUUUAACCCCUAUAUCCGCCUUAAUUACACCCAAGACCGGGUCGAUAAUUGUUGCAUUGGUUAGAACAAGAUCUAAGCAAUCCGCGUCGAGGGCUAAAGGCGACUGACCCAUACCAUCGCG